rnacentral:rRNA from 1 species
AUACGGAGGGUGCAAGCGUUGUCCGGAAUCACUGGGUGUAAAGGGUGUGUAGGCGGGAUUGUAAGUCAGAGUUGAAAUCCUACAGCUCAACUGUACAACUGCCUUUGAUACUGCAAUUCUUGAGUUUCGGAGAGGUCAUUAGAAUUCGUGGUGUUGCGGUGAAAUGCGUAGAUAUCACGAGGAAUACCAGAGGCGUAGGCGGAUGACUGGACGAAUACUGACGCUGAGGCACGAAAGCGUGGGGAGCAAACAGGAUUAGAAACCCCAGUAGUCC